rnacentral:rRNA from 1 species
CAGUAGCCACGGUAAUACAGAGGGUGCGAGCGUUAAUCGGAUUUACUGGGCGUAAAGCGUGCGUAGGCGGCUUUUUAAGUCGGAUGUGAAAUCCCUGAGCUUAACUUAGGAAUUGCAUUUGAUACUGGGAAGCUAGAGUAUGGGAGAGGAUGGUAGAAUUCCAGGUGUAGCGGUGAAAUGCGUAGAGAUCUGGAGGAAUACCGAUGGCGAAGGCAGCCAUCUGGCCUAAUACUGACGCUGAGGUACGAAAGCAUGGGGAGCAAACAGGAUUAGAUACCCCAGUAGUCCCUGUCUCUUAUAC